UGGGUCUCAUUAACAUAAGAUCACUGUCCUUAAAAUCAAUAUUGAUUAAUGAUCAAAUUAUGGAUCAUCACUUAGAUAUGAUUGGGUUAUGUGAAACCUGGCUUAAACCGACAGCUGUUCUCCCCUUAAAGGAGGCAUGCCCACCGGCGUACACAUUUAGUCACGGUGUAUAUUUAAAUAUUUAUACAAGAUAG